GCAAGUGCAAUUCGGAUCAAAGGCAACCAGUUCUCAUUAUUCAUUGACGCGUGCUACGAUUGAUCGUUUGACUUUCCGUAUCUGCCUGUAUCACCGUCACCCCUCCCACCACGCCACUUUGGAAACUAAGGUGCGACGAGUCCAUUCAGUCGUCUUAUUUUGUAUCGAUAACACGGAUCACGUUGCGUCAGGUCAUUGAUCGAUGGCAGGGAUAAUACAAAAGUAACAGGAGUAUUAAUAUACGGACGCAACGACGAUCAACGAUCAGUCUGAUGAAUUUUCAUGGAAAUUUGGUAAUGUUUAAUUUAUUAUUAUCUAAGACAGCUGUGUAUGAACAGUCCUAUUGCAUUUUUAUUCGAGUAUGGGUAACAUUUGAUAUACAAUUUAAAAUACACUUGAUGCAUAUUUCAUAAUAGAUCAUUUCGUAAUUAUUUGGAAUACGAAGAUGAAAGUAAAUACGAUUAAAUAAAUCAUUUUUUCUUUUUUCAUUCAAAUAUAUGAAAUCAUUCUCUUAUUUCAAACGAACUUGCAACAAAUUAUUUUAUCGUUUCAAUGUAAUUCAUAAUGUAGAAUUCUUGAUAAUUUAACGAUAGCUUCGUGUAGACAGAUUGAAACAUAGAAAUCUCAAUAAUAAUAGCUGAAACUAUUUCGAUAGGUAUAGAUAACAUACUAGGUAUCGGUAUAUCGA